UUCUGGUCUUUUGGGUUGGAUUUCUAAUAUGUUGCAGUUGAAAGAAAGAUAGAUCAAGGUCGAAUUCGCUGAUAUUAUACUGGUGAUAAGUUAACUGUGAUAUUCGGAAGGAUAUUUUUGUAUUCGUAAGGAUAUCCUUAUCAAACCAGAGGUACUAUGGAAAAUUUGUUAGUGUUUUAUGGGCACAUCGUACGUGAGGGUCCUU